UACAACUGUGUAAAAAGCUCCAAACACAGGAUUGUUUUUAUGCUUUGCACCAUUUUAUUUAAUUUUUGUAUACAAUCUAGAAGUAUUUAGUCCAGUGUCAUCAUUCAGAAACCUCUUAAACAAAACAAUUAGCAUUUUUAAUUCAUUCAUUUGCUAAUAGUAUUAAAUAAAUCUGGUCAAACGGCGUCGGUUCAGCGUUGGGGAUUUUUCUGCUGUCAGCAGAACUUCAUUUGUCGUGAUCUUUCAUUGUUCUGUCCUGUAAGGCCUCUUGGAAAGAUUUAUAAAAACAAAAACAAACAAACAAAAGAAUAAAUAGGCAUGUGCCGGUAUCACAAGAAAAUAAAAAAAAAAGGAAAAAUGUAAAAGUGUGAACGAACUCCAUGGUGUCUCACGGAGUCCGUUAGAUCUUCAUGUCUAGUGCAUGUGACACGUAUUUACUCUCGAUGCUCAACCACGUUCAGCUCGAAUGAUCGUGGGACGUGUGCUGAAAAUAUAGUGCGAGGGUUUACAGGCACAAGCCUCCUACAGGCAUAUAAUAAUAAUAAUUAAUAAUAAUUAAUAAUAAUAAUAAUAAUAAUAAUAAUAAGGCCAAAUCAUGUGAUCAAGUGGAAUCAUAUGGAUUCCUCUAGAAUUUCUUUCCAGAACAGUAAAAUAAUAAAAAAAGAAAUAAUAAAAUAAAAAAAAAAAAAAAAAAGUCACCAGAUACAAACGGGACUUUUGUUUGCAUCGUUAGUGUUCGUUUACUUCUUGAUGAAGGACAUCAGCGAUGUGAGUGGUUUAUGAGUGCGUGUGUCCGCGUGUACGAGACGGAGGAGGAGACGUGGCAAAAAAAUGUCCUAAGUGCAAAAAGGCAGAAGUCCCGCAUUAAUAAAAAGGGAACGUUUAUUUUAAAAAAAAAAAAAAAAAAAAAAGUAGCUAAAAUAUUGAAAAAUAAAAUUAUAUAUAUAUUUCUAUAUAAACCUCUUAAAUAUGUACAUGAUGUGCAAAUAAAAUCGGGUCGUAUUACACACACACUACAUACGAGAACGUGUAGGAGGUCGAGUCAGUGCGCACGCUUCCUUUACAGCAUUACGAUUGGCACUACUGUGGAGCUCCUUCGGAUGUGCAUAAACCCAGAAAGAAAAGAGAGAAAGAGAAAGAGAAAGAGAGAGAGAGAGAGAGAGAGAAAAUAUAUACAAUAUGACAGAUAAAAAGAUUUCCUUGGGUUAAAGUGCUCUUCAGCGGCCGAACUGCAACACAGCAGAAGCAACGACGGAAUAUAUAGGCAGCUUGAGGGUGUGUGUGUGUGUGUGUGUGUGUGUGUGUGUGUGUGUGUGUGUGUGUUUGUUUUUAACACGGUAUGAAUUCAUGCUGGAACCGCAUUUCUCCUCUUCGUGCCUUUCGACUAGAAUGUUAUCGAGGUACCUUGUCCAGUAGAUGUCCCUGUAACACUGUAGCUCAGAUUCCUGCCUCUCUGCUGCCCUCUAUGGUCAGUGACCUGCUGUAACACCAUGUUCUCAGCAACAAGGCGAACCUACGUUGUAUUCCGUUUGUAUUUUUCUAUCAGCCCAGGCUUACAGAAGCUGUUAUAUAUAUGUCUUUAUAAUGAACACAAUUAAAGCAAAGACGUCGCUUUA